GGUUGCCUUAUCGAUUUUAAAUCAGACCGACCUUCAGCUGCAAAGAGAGUGGACCAGCAGAACUCAGAGGCUCCCAGUGGUCCAUCUACCCAGCAGCAUCAAACCCAGCUGGACUCCAUAUUUAUGCUGCUGGAGGAAAACAUUGUUGGUUUUGUAAAGAAGGAGC